rnacentral:rRNA from 1 species
AGUGAACGCUGGCGGCAGGCCUAAUACAUGCAAGUCGAGCGAGCGGCGGACGGGUGAGUAAUGUCUGGGAAACUGCCUGAUGGAGGGGGAUAACUACUGGAAACGGUAGCUAAUACCGCAUACCAUCAGAUGUGCCCAGAUGGGAUUAGCUAGUAGGUGGGGUAACGGCUCACCUAGGCGACGAUCCCUAGCUGGUCUGAGAGGAUGACCAGUCACUCUGGAACGCUGAUGCGGUCCAGACUCCUACGGGAGUCACCAGUGGGGAAUAUUGCACAAUGGGCGCAAGCCUGAAGCAGCCAUGCCGCUUGUCUGAAGAAGGCCUUCGGGUUGUAAAGCACUAUCAUCGGGGAGGCGUUACCCGCAGAAGAAGCACCGGCUAACUCCGUGCCAGCAGCCGCGGUAAUAC